rnacentral:lncRNA from 1 species
UCUGGGCAAAUUUCUGGAAAUGUUCAUGGGCAGGAUGUAUAAAAUGAUAUGGCCAAUGCACUAUAUUUUGUGCAUCUCAAAGGUAGUGAUAAAUCUAGGAAAACUUAGAUUUCAAGUUUGUACCAUAGGGUUUUGAUUCUUUCACAGAAAUUAUUAAGCUUUAGCUUAGUGAAUGACUUAGUGUUAGUGCCUUAUUUUGUAGUUUUUAAAACGCAUGAAUUGUCUCAACAUUUAUCUUUGAUCUUACAUGUUGUACCUAUUAAAACAUUUAAACCAGCUGCAUUUGUCAGGAACCGCAUGUUCAGGGGUGCAUAAGGGUUUCUAGUUUUUUUUUAUUUGGAUCAGACUGUUUGUUUCCUGUUUGAAUGUUUUACACUAGUCAUUUUGGGCUCUAUAUAGCUUGCUAUUUGGUGUGAACCAAGGUUCCGUGUUGAAGACCAUAUUUUGAUCUAUAAUGGUUUACUUAUAUUACAAAUUGCGACUUGAAGAAGUCGUCUCCUUGACACUCAUACCACAUAUUCAUAUAUCUAUGUUUGUUUUGAAAUGUAUAGGUUUUAUCUUUCUGUGCAUGUAUUUGUAGUAGCCAUGUUGGUUUCAAAAGCACCGAUUGGCAAGCUUAUACUAGUAUUUGCAUACAUUUGUGAAUUUGUCACUAGACCAGACAACUAUGUAACAGAUGUAAUUUUACUUGCACAUGCUGCCUCUUGAAAAAUCUUUUAACAACUCUAUAAAGGUAAUUGCAAAACUACAAUACAAUAGGCCUGCAAAAUAUUCUGUGAAGUUGUUUAAGGUUGAAAACUUCACAUAAUUGUUCUUUGGAAUAUUCUGCUGAAAAUGUUCCUGAAGUCUUGAAUAAUGGGAAAAGUUCCUUAGAACUAUUAGAAUCUUUUGUGUGAAUACCUUUAAGAGUACACAACAAAAGAUAUUCAUCUCAAAUCACAAAAUCUCUUAUUGGCAAUCAUUCCACCUGUUCUCAUUUCUAGAACAAUUUGUAGAUGACACUCGAGAGUAUAUAUGUCUCACCUCUGCCACUUCGAGACAAAGCAAAUGCAAAUAAUGAUGGAUAGCAACCCUUUUCAAAUAAACAGGUUUUUUUUUAUUUUUUUUGUUUUAAAUAUGGUUCUGUAGCUUAUCUUUUUCACCACUAAGAACUUUAUUUGCUCAAUACUACCACUUUCAGACUACUGAAGCAUGCCCAAACUCACAAUUCAUAGUAUUAGAAAGGGAGCAGGUUUUCCACACAACCAAAUAAAUGGAGAAAGUUUCCAAGGGGGCACAGAUGAUGCCCAAGCUUGUAUGUUAUAAAGGGGCAUACUAGAGAACAGUUUUAAAUAGUCUUGCCACAGAGAUUCAAAAUUUACUUAUGUGGUAAUUUGCUUUGAAUACAUGUUUUCGUCACAUUUGGUUCAGGGAAACUUAAUUGAGAACAGAAACCAAUUUGAAUGGGGACAUAUAGUUGGAACCCCCCCCCCCUUUUUAAAAUGGCCGGAUCUGCCCCUGGUUGGACAAGGGUUCAGCUUCAUCUGCAGUGGGGUCAAAACUGCGAUAAUUGAACUCGUCACUGUCAAACUGAUUAUCAAAUAUGGACUCAUUCUGGUCAGUAGAACAUUUUUUAUCUAACUGUAAAUGUGUGAUGAAAAAUUAGUCAAUAUUAUCAGUAUCAAAAAAUAAAUUGGUUCCAGCAUUAAAAAGGCAACAAGUGCUGA